UACGGGGGGAGCAAGCGUUGUUCGGAUUUACUGGGCGUAAAGGGCGCGUAGGCGGUCAGCACAAGUCAGUUGUGAAAUCUCCGGGCUUAACUCGGAAAGGUCAACUGAUACUGUGCGACUAGAGUGCAGAAGGGGCAACUGGAAUUCUCGGUGUAGCGGUGAAAUGCGUAGAUAUCAAGAGGAACACCUGCGGCGAAGGCGGGUUGCUGGGCUGACACUGACGCUGAGGCGCGAAAGCCAGGGGAGCGAACGGG
rnacentral:rRNA from 1 species